rnacentral:rRNA from 1 species
GACGUAGGAGGCGAGCGUUGUCCGGAUUCAUUGGGCGUAAAGAGCGCGCAGGCGGCUUGGUAAGUCGGAUGUGAAAUCCCGAGGCUCAACCUCGGGUCUGCAUCCGAUACUGCCCGGCUAGAGGUAGGUAGGGGAGAUCGGAAUUCCUGGUGCAGCGGUGAAAUGCGCAGAUAUCAGGAGGAACACCGGUGGCGAAGGCGGAUCUCUGGGCCUUACCUGACGCUCAGGCGCGAAAGCUAGGGGAGCGAACUGG